rnacentral:lncRNA from 1 species
AUUAAUUUGACAUGAAAUUGGACAAGAAGUAGGUAAUAAUAUAUAAUUCCGAAGCCGAAUGAAGAAAUGCUGAUGUUCCCUACUUGACUUUAUUUACGUAUGUGCCUGACGGCGCUUUUUUUGCUCCAUGUGCUGCUUCCGAGCCUUAUGUUAGCCAGGGCAGCUACUGCCGUGGGCUUAUAAUGAGUAUUGAAUAGCGUCUUGUGAUGCGCGCGUGAGUGUAUAUAUGUGUGUGAAUGUGUACGAAUGUAUAUAUGUAUGUAUGUAUGUAUGCUGUCGUGCUGCUUGGUACGUGUGUGGGCGAUAGACGCCAAUGGCACUGCUGGAGGCAGCGGGGGUAGUGGCGACGGUGGGCUGUUAGCGGUAAUAAGGGGUAUAUAGACGCGCGCGUGUGUGUGUAUGUGUGUGUGGGUGUGAAAAAAACAUUCGGAGUUGUGUCGGCGAUUGAAAAGCGACUGCUAGCAGCGGCUGACUGGCUGCGACGUACAGAUAUAAUAUCUUGCUGAUAUCACUUAGGCGGCCGAGCCACUACGAGGUGCCACUAGGAGCGAAAAUGGAGAGGGGGAGAGGCGAGAGAGGGAAAGGCGUGUGUCGCAAUUCUCGGUACAAGGUAUUCAACCACGCAGAGGGCUCAACCUGUCUAGAGUAUGGCUUGGCCAUGCUUUCGGUCGAGUGCUAGGUUAAUAUAUAGUUUGCAAGGCCGCGGCGGGCGCCGAGCGAGGUGCUAAGGACUUGACGGCUGGAGGCGGAUAGCCUGCCGUUCCCCUCUCGCGUUCCUCUUCGUUCAUAUUUAUGGACUUUAGCAUAGGUAUUUUUUCCUUUUACAAGGCCCUGACACUUGGCUAGGGACUCGAUUUUUGCUGCUGCGUUGAUCUUUUCAACAUACGGGACAAACAUUGUCGUAAAAUACACAGUUUACGAUUUGGACAUUCAAGUAUGUUUCAUGUUUUGCGGGCUUCUUCGAGUAGACUAUAUAACCUACAUCACGGAGUACUCAAAACUACUUGUUUUGACAAUAGGGGAUUAGGCCACGGUGCGGAGAUUUUCAGUGCGCCGAGUCAUCGGCAGGCGCUCAUGCUGCCAUCCCAUCGACUCAUGUAAAUACACGAAAUUCGCAAAGUAAUUACA